rnacentral:rRNA from 1 species
GUGGGGAAUAUUGCGCAAUGGGCGAAAGCCUGACCCAGCGACGCCGCGUGAGGGAAGACGGCCUUCGGGUUGUAAACCUCUUUUGUACGGGAAGAAGGAAGUGACGGUACUGUACGAAUAAGUCCCGGCUAACUACGUGCCAGCAGCCGCGGUAAUACGUAGGGGACGAGCGGUGUCCGGAAUUACUGGGCGUAAAGGGCGCGCAGGCCGUGGUGCAAGUCAGCUGUGAAAUGUCUGGGCUUAACCCGGGCAUUCGGGUAAGACUGCAGUGCUGGAGUGCUGUAGAGGACAGUGGAAUUCCCAUUGUAGCGGUAAAAUGCGUAGAUAUUGGGAAGAACACCGGUGACGAAGGCGACUUGCUGGGCAGCAACUGACGCUGAGGCGCGAAAGCCAGGGGAGCAAACGGGAUUAGAUACCCCAGUAGUCC